rnacentral:lncRNA from 1 species
AGCAACUACAAGGUGCUAAUCAACUCGGUGAGACCCUGUCUCUAAAUAAAAUACAAAAUAGGACUGGGGACUUGGCUCAAUGGUUGAGUGCCCCUGAAUUCAAUCCCAGGUACUCCCCCCACCACAAAAAAAAAUGUCUUUUUUAAAGUGUCAUUUAGUCUCAGAGGGGUACACAGCAUGUCUUGGCAGAAUAAAGAGACAACUCUUUGACUUGGAGGUGAAGAUUUGCUAGGACAAAUUUUGCUAGGACAGGGGUCAGGCAAGAUUUGCUAUGACAGCCUUACUGAAACAGCAUGCAGGAGUGGGCCAUCUCCUAGAAGUCUGGCAUAACUGCAGCUGAAGGUAUGUUCUGCAAUGUAGAAUUCCAAUUUUAUCCUGGAUGUAACUCAAUCACUAAAAGACUUUGGGUAAAAUGACAUAAAAUAAUGCUUAUAGGACCUCAAGUAUUAAAAAUAGGGUUGUAUUGAAGGAUGCACAUUUUCCUCAAUAUUUUGUAUGUGUAUGUGUGUGUGUGUGUGUGAGGGUGGGGGUAAAUGGGGAUUGAACUCAGGGGCACUCGACCACUGAGCCACAUCCCCAGCCCUCUUUUGUGCUUUAUUUAGAGACAGGGUCUCACUGACUUGCUUAAUGCUUUGCUUUUGCUGAGGGGCUCUGAACUUGCCAUCCUCCUGCCUCAGCCUCCCAAGCCGCUGGGAUUAUAGAUGUGCGCCACCAUGCUUGGCUUUUAUAUGUGGUUUGAAACUUAAAAUAUUAAGUUCUCAUACUGACUGGUAUAGUCACUGGAGGGUGUCUUUAUGCAUACUAAAGAGAUUCAAUUGAAUAUAAAUGGAAAGCAAAGAACUUAUCAAAUUGUAAUUAGAAUUGAUCCAUAUUGAAAGGUUCCAGAAUAGGCCUCUAAGGCAUAAAAAAUAUUUUGAGAAGGCAUUUGGUAUCCCUGAAAUCACAAUCUGCUUAUAAGCUGAACUUCUCAAAAGAACUUAGUUACCACAAAUCCCUUCCCCAGGAGCAGUUAGG